AGCGAACGCUGGCGGUAGGCCUAACACAUGCAAGUCGAACGGCAGCACAGUAAGAGCUUGCUCUUCCGGGUUGCCAGUCGGGGACGGAUGAGGAAUACAUCGGAAUCUACUUUUUCGUGGGGGAUCACGUAGGGGAACUUACGCUCAUACCGCAUACGCCCUACGGGUGAAAGCAGGGGAUCUUCGGACCUUGCGCGAUUGAAUGAGCCGCGGUCGAAUUAGCUGGUUGGCGGGGUACAGGCCCACUCAGGCGACGAUCCGUAGCUGGUGUGAGAGGCUGGUCAGCCACACUGGAACUGAGACACGGUCCAGACUCCUAAGGGAGGCAGCAGUGGGGAAUAUUGGACAAUGGGCGCAAGCCUGAUCCAGCCAUACCGCGUGGGUGAAGAAGGCCUUCGGGUUGUAAAGCCCGUUUGUUGGGAAAGAAAAGCAGCAGGUUAAUACCCCGCUGUUCUGACGGUACUCAAAGAAUAAGCACCGGCUAACUUCGUG
rnacentral:rRNA from 1 species